CAACUGUUCAUGAAAACAGACUGUGAAGCACUGGGCAGAAUUCAGUGGGGGUGGCUUCCGCACGUAUCUGCAGCUAGAGUAUUUGGAGCGAGCUAAUGCUUUGGCCCGACAGAAAGAGGUUUCCUUCCUGCUGCCUGCUGCGCUGCGGAGGCUGUCAUAUGGGGGUCCCGUGCUGCGCAUUCUCUCUAUGCCUGACGACACCUUAAUCAUGAUCAGAGAAGAUGGAGCUAUUUAUUUCUGGUCCCUGCAGCUGAAGUUGAAAAGAAGAAAGCGGGUCUUUGUAUGUGAUUUUCAUUUGAUAAGGAUGCUGAGUGCUACAGUUUGAUUUUAUUUGCUAUUUUAAACUGCUUCUUAAGUGGUGUGAUUACAUAAAUUGUGUCCUUGAAUAUAAUAUAUUCAUGCUGGAUUUUGCUAGUCUG
rnacentral:lncRNA from 1 species